GUAGGUGGCAAGCGUUGUCCGGAAUUAUUGGGCGUAAAGCGCGCGCAGGCGGUUCUUUAAGUCUGAUGUGAAAGCCCACGGCUCAACCGUGGAGGGUCAUUGGAAACUGGAGAACUUGAGUACAGAAGAGGAAAGCGGAAUUCCACGUGUAGCGGUGAAAUGCGUAGAGAUGUGGAGGAACACCAGUGGCGAAGGCGGCUUUCUGGUCUGUAACUGACGCUGAGGCGCGAAAGCGUGGGGAGCAAACAGGGAUUGGAUACCCUGGUAGUCCACGCCGUAAACGAUGAGUGCUAAGUGUUAGGGGGUUUCCGCCCCCUUAGUGCUGCAGCUAACGCAUUAAGCACUCCGCCUGGGGAGUACGGCCGCAAGGCUG
rnacentral:rRNA from 1 species